rnacentral:rRNA from 1 species
UAGGGAAUCUUCGGCAAUGGACGAAAGUCUGACCGAGCAACGCCGCGUGAGUGAAGAAGGUUUUCGGAUCGUAAAACUCUGUUGUUAGAGAAGAACAAGGACGUUAGUAACUGAACGUCCCCUGACGGUAUCUAACCAGAAAGCCACGGCUAACUACGUGCCAGCAGCCGCGGUAAUACGUAGGUGGCAAGCGUUGUCCGGAUUUAUUGGGCGUAAAGCGAGCGCAGGCGGUUUCUUAAGUCUGAUGUGAAAGCCCCCGGCUCAACCGGGGAGGGUCAUUUGAAACUGGGAGACUUGAGUGCGGAAGAGGAGAGUAGAAUUCCAUGUGUAGCGGUGAAAUGCGUAAAUAUAUGGAGGAACACCAGUGGCGAAGGCGGCUCUCUGGUCUGUAACUGACGCUGAGGCUCGAAAGCGUGGGGAGCAAACAGG